UAACCUGCCCAAGAGACUGGGAUAACACCUGGAAACAGAUGCUAAUACCGGAUAACAACACUAGACGCAUGUCUAGAGUUUAAAAGAUGGUUCUGCUAUCACUCUUGGAUGGACCUGCGGUGCAUUAGCUAGUUGGUAAGGCAACGGCUUACCAAGGCAAUGAUGCAUAGCCGAGUUGAGAGACUGAUCGGCCACAUUGGGACUGANACACGGCCCAAACUCCUACGGGAGGCAGCAGCC
rnacentral:rRNA from 1 species